rnacentral:rRNA from 1 species
UACGUAGGGUGCGAGCGUUGUCCGGAAUUACUGGGCGUAAAGAGCUCGUAGGUGGUUUUGUCGCGUUGUUCGUGAAAACUCACAGCUCAACUGUGGGCGUGCGGGCGAUACGGGGCAGACUGGAGUACUGCAGGGGAGACUGGAAUUCCUGGUGUAGCGGUGGAAUGCGCAGAGUAUCAGGAGGAACACCGGUGGCGAAGGCGGGU